UACGUAGGGGGCGAGCGUUGUCCGGAAUUAUUGGGCGUAAAGAGCUCGUAGGCGGUUUGUCGCGUCUGCUGUGAAAACCUAAGGCUCAACCUUGGGCUUGCAGUGGGUACGGGCAGACUAGAGUGCGGUAGGGGUGACUGGAAUUCCUGGUGUAGCGGUGGAAUGCGCAGAUAUCAGGAGGAACACCGAUGGCGAAGGCAGGUCACUGGGCCGCAACUGACGCUGAGGAGCGAAAGCAUGGGGAGCGAACAGG
rnacentral:rRNA from 1 species